UAAGUCAGAGGUGAAAUGUCGGGGCUCAACUCCGAACCUGCCUUUGAAACUGCGGUUCUUGAGUGCGGUAGAGGGAAGCGGAAUUCCAGGUGUAGCGGUGGAAUGCGUAGAUAUCUGGAAGAACACCGGUGGCGAAGGCGGCUUCCUGGCCCGAUACUGACGCUGAGACGCGAAAGCGUGGGUAGCAGACAGGAUUAGAUACCCUGGUAGUCCGCGCCCUAAACGAUGGUCACUAGGUGCCGGAGGAUUCGACCCCUUCGGCGCCGUAGCUAACGUGUUAAGUGACCCGCCUGGGGAGUACGAUCGCAAGGUUGAAACUCAAAGGAAUUGACGGGGUCCCGCACAAGCGGUGGAGCAUGUGGUUUAAUUCGAUGCAACGCGAAGAACCCUACCUGGGCUUGAACUGCAGUGGAAACUUCCUGAAAGUGAAGCCUCCUUCGGGACCGCUGUAGAGGUGCUGCAUGGCUGUCGUCAGCUCGUGUCGUGAGAUGUUGGGUUAGGUCCUGCAGCGAGCGCAACCCCUACCGUUAGUUGCCAUCAGGUUAUGCUGGGCACUUUAACGGGACUGCCUGCGUUAAGCAGGAGGAAGGUGGGGAUGACGUCAAGUCCUCAUGGCCCUUACGUCCAGGGCUACACACGUGCUACAAUGGGGAGUACAAAGGGUCGCAAUACCGCGAGGUGGAGCCAAUCCCACAAAACUACCCUCAGUUCGGAUUGCACUCUGCAACUCGAGUGCAUGAAGCCGGAAUCGCUAGUAAUCGUGGAUCAGCACGCCACGGUGAAUACGUUCCCGGGCCUUGUAC
rnacentral:rRNA from 1 species